GAGUUUGAUCAUGGCUCAGAAUCAACGCUGGCGGCGUGCCUAACACAGCAAGUCGAGCGCGAAAAGGGGCUUCGGCCCCCGAGUAGAGCGGCGCACGGGUGAGUAACGCGUGGGUAAUCAACCUUCGAGUGGGGAAUAACAGCGGGAAACUGCUGCUAAUACCGCAUGACAUCCACGGAUCUCGGUUCGUGGAUCAAAGCUGGGGAACUUCGGUCCUGGCGCUUGAAGACGAGCCCGCGUCCGAUUAGCUAGUUGGUGGGGUAAUGGCUCACCAAGGCGACGAUCGGUAGCCGGCCUGAGAGGGCGGACGGCCACACUGGGACUGAGACGCGGCCCAGACUCCUACGGGAGGCAGCAGUGGGGAAUUUUUCGCAAUGGGGGAAACCCUGACGAAGCAACGCCGCGUGGAGGAUGAAGGCCUUCGGGUCGUAAACUCCUGUCAACGGGGACGAAAGCAGUCGGCUCAAUACGCCGUUCUGUUGACUGUACCUGUGGAGGAAGCUCCGGCUAACUCUGUGCCAGCAGCCGCGGUAAUAC
rnacentral:rRNA from 1 species